UGCAGUUUAUCCAGAACUCAAAAGGCAGAAAACCAAUGUUUCAUUAAUUAUUCAGAAGGUGCUGUAAUGUGUGAGCACCAUCAGCUGUGACUUUUCUCCAUUUAACCACCGGGACCAUUAAGUACAAAACUAUUUUCUGUGGCUUCUGAAGUUCCUGAACUGAAUGUGUCUGUGUGCAUUGGGGAAAUAUCCCUUACAUGUUUUGCCUGUUCUUAUACUAUUUUUUUAAAGUACAUUUUUUAUAUUUUAUAUUUAAUUUUAUAUAUUUUUAAGUACAUGCUGCAGAUUACCAAGAAGUAAACUACUAGGUUAAUCAGAUAUUUGUCUAACACAGUAUGGCUGUUCUUCUAUAAAGAAGUAUUUUGCAGACAGUAUUGUAUAGAAUCUGCCAUGUCAAAUCAACUAUGUAACUUAGCUUUUCGGAAGGACAUACUUCUUUCUUUAAAUAGCUGCUUUGAAGAAUAAGAAUAUUCUCCACAGUCACUUUAUAAAAUGACAAAUACCCAUCCAUCAAGUAGCCAAUUGCUGAAUUCUGAUAAGAGGUUUCUAGGUUUGAGCUGCUAAGUGAAAGGGGGAUUCCUUUUGUUUCAUUUAAAAUGUGAGGAUGAUGAUCACUUGUGAAGACCUACAUAUUUAUUGCAAUUCAUAUCAUCCACGUCAUUAGAGAUUCUGUAAUCCUCUAUCACAUCCAUCACUUCUCAACUCUCUUUUGAGAUGUUAAAAUGCCUCUUAAGUAAAAGCUAUGGCAUACUUUAACCAUCCUUAUCAGACUUCUGCAUACCUUUCAAGUUUUUACUAGGUCCUUCCCAAAAUGCAGGGUUAGGAUGCAGAGAAAUUAGUGUUCUCUUGCAGUUCAAGACACGCAUGCGCUAUGGAUUUAAGACAUGGCCUGCUUAUUGUUUUCUGUUUUGUUAUCCGUUUCUUCCCUGAAAAAAAAACUGCCACUUUACUUCUCACAUUUUUCUUGUAUUCUUUACAGUGCUCCCACAGCUGUUUCCCUGGUGCAGAUACUGUUGCUUUGGGUUUCAAAAAGAGCAGAGCAAAGUCCCCUGUGGGAUGCUUCCACUUGGAAUGCAGGAAGUUUCUCUUAGAAGCAGAGGUACUAUGAGGAACAUAAAGUGCAGGCAUAUAGGGGAGUAUGAAAAAGUAGUGAGCAGGGGGCUACACAGCAGCAAUCUCUUUGCACCUGACUACAGCAUGCUACUGAUACCUCUGUUCUUUGUGUAUUAACAUUAUAGCUUGUGUAUUACCAAAUAAAAUCCCAGUGGAGGGAUCAGAAAACA